AUACGGAGGAUGCAAGCGUUAUCCGGAUUUAUUGGGUUUAAAGGGUGCGCAGGCGGCCAUUUAAGUCAGCGGUUAAAUCGUGGGGCUCAACCCCAUUCUGCCGUUGAUACUGGGUGGCUUGAUUGCGGUCGAGGUUGGCGGAAUUCGUUGUGUAGCGGUGACAUGCAUAGAUAUGACGAAGAACACCGAUUGCGUAGGCAGCUGACCAGACCGCAAAUGACGCUCAUGCACGAAAGUGCGGGGAUCGAACAGGAUUAGAUACCCUGGUAGUCCGCACAGUAAACGAUGAAUACUUGUUUUCGGCGAUAUAAUGUCGGAGGCAAAGCGAAAGCAAUAAGUAUUCCACCUGGGGAGUACGGCCGCAAGGUUGAAACUCAAAGGAAUUGACGGGG
rnacentral:rRNA from 1 species